rnacentral:lncRNA from 8 species
AGUAGUAUGAUGGUGUGGAUAUUGGAACAGAGCUCUGGUGCCAACAAAUUGGUGUUUCCCAGCAGGAUAUAGAGUUGCUGGGUGGGAUAAUGACUAUGAUGCACCGUUUAUGUCCUUUCCAAUCUAUGUAGUUAUUAAGGUAAAAGGGGGUGACUGGUAGGAAAUAUUUGUGUUUCAUGUGUUAUGGAAAACAUUUUAUUUUGCCCCAAUUGUAACUGUAAUGCUGAAGAGAUGCUUAGUCAGUAUCGGCCAUACCUUUUGUUUUAUAGUGAUGUAUGCUGACUUAUACCAUCUGAUAUUAUUUUGUUUCAGAUACCACAGUAACCACCACGAGGACAGGUUAUGCUAAUAACUACGACAACUUUAUGGACUUUACAUGCUGAACCAACCAUGCAAUUGCUGGGAUGUACAGCUAUCACAGUAACCACCACGAGGACAGGAGUUGGAGGUUUUACUGCAGUUCUGUCCUUAAGAUUUGUACCUUUGACUGCCAGGUUACACCCUGGGUCAACUACAGUACUGGGAUGAUGCAUUCACCUACAAAGCCACCAGUACCAACGAUCUCAUUAUUCCACAUUUUGUUGUGUUACAGCCUGAACUCAACACUGAUUAAAUUGAUAAUUUUUCUCACCAAUCUACACACAAUAUCCCAUAAUGACAAAGUGGUUUUAUGUUUAAAAAAUAAUAAUAAUUUAAUAAAGAAAUGAAAAACUGAAAUAUCUCAUUUACAUAAGUAUUCACAUCCCUGAGUCAAUACUUUGUAUGUUUGAAUAUACCCUUGAGCAUGGUGAAGUUAUUAAUUACAUUUUGGAUGGUAUAUCAAUACACCCAGUCACUACAAAGAUACAAGCGUCCUUCCUAACUCAGUUGCCGGAGAGGAAGGAAACCGCUCAGGGAUUUCACUAUGAGGCCAAUGGUGACUUUAAAACAGUUAUAGAGUUUAGUGGCUGUGAUAGGAGAAAACUAAGGAUGGAUCAACAACAUUAUAGUUACUCCACAAAAAUAACCUAAUGAAAAGAAGGAAGCCUGUACAGAAUACAAAUAUUCCAAAACAUGCAUCCUGUUUGCAACAAGGCAUUAAAGUACAACUGCAAUAAAUGUGGCAAAGCAAUUAACUUUUUGUCCUGAAUACAAAGUGUUAUGAUUGGGACAAAUCCAAUAUAAUCUACAGAGUACCACUGGUGGCUGCAUCAUGUUAAAAGUAUGCUUGUAAACGUUGGGACUGGGGAGUUUUUCAGGAUAAAAAGGAAAUGGAAUUUUCACGGGAUACUAGGAGUGGUGGUAGGAGUCAGGCGCAGAGAGCAGAGGUAUAGUAUAACGUCCUUUAUUUCUUCCGGCACAAACCGGUCACGCCAAAACAGACGGGCGCGUAAAAAAAGGAAAAAGGGAUCAGCGGUGGCUAGUAGGCCCUCGACGACGACCGCCGAGCGCCGUUCGAGCAGGCAGGGGAGCCACCUUCGGUGGGAUUCGUGACAGGAAUUGACCUAAACACAGGCAAAAUCACAGAGGAAAAUCCUAGUGG